AACCCAUGGUGAGGGCACCUUUUUAACAGAUACUUGUAUCUCUCCCAUGCAUCGUAGAGUGUUUUUAAAUCCAUCUGCACAAAAGAGGAGAUAUCAUUACGUAAUUU
rfam:Gossypium arboreum cultivar AKA8401 contig_52489_1, whole genome shotgun sequence.